GCUGGAAUAGCAAAGUGGUUAAUGCAGAAGGCCUAAGACCUUCCAACCAAAGGUUCGACCCCUUUUUUCAGCU
rnacentral:tRNA from 1 species